AAGGAUAUAACAUAUAUUUAAUGUGUUUCAUUUACAUUGAAAUUAAGUUUAUUUAGGAACUAUCUUUA
rnacentral:tRNA from 1 species